UACGUAGGUGGCAAGCGUUGUCCGGAAUUAUUGGGCGUAAAGCGCGCGCAGGCGGUCCUUUAAGUCUGAUGUGAAAGCCCACGGCUCAACCGUGGAGGGUCAUUGGAAACUGGGGGACUUGAGUGCAGGAGAGAAGAGUGGAAUUCCACGUGUAGCGGUGAAAUGCGUAGAUAUUGGGAGGAACACCAGUGGCGAAGGCGGCUACCUGGACCGGUUCUGACGCUGAGGCGCGAAAGCGUGGGGAGCAAACAGG
rnacentral:rRNA from 1 species